CGGCCACACGGCCGCUCCAGCGCCCGCCUGAGGCGCCAUUUCUGCUCGUUAGUUCAGGCGGGAAAACGAGGCGGAGAGCGCUGGUUCAUAUGCAUGGCCAACAACAGAAACCAUAACCGAGGUCAUCACUAACCAAGAUGAACUUCCUGAGGAAAUGCAACUGCUAAUACGAGUUCUCUCAAGCCAUUAUUUGAGCCAUCCUGGUAGGAAGACGUCUUUCCCUGCCUCUCUUCAUGGUUCAGCUCAGACAACGAACUAUGAAUCCCUCUGGAAAGAAACCCAUUGAGUGCUGUGGAUAUGUCCCUGGCAUCACUUGAAAGAAAGAAAGAAAGAAAUUAGCAAAUCCUAAUUCUGCCCUGGCCUACCUGUCUGGGUUGUUGAGAGGAUCGAAUAAAAAACCCAAGGAUCAAUUUCCCUUUGCAGUGUUUUUUUUUUCUUUGUUUCAUUUAGUAAUGAUUUAUAAUUUCAUUUCAUUUCAUUUAGGAACAAUUUAUAAUGCCUUGGUGAGACCACAUUUGGAAUACAACAUCCAGUUUUGGUCGCUAUGAUAGACA